UCAACUGGAGACCUCCAAGAAAACUCGGGGUACAUCUGGCUGGUGUCUUGAUCACUACAAAUGCUAGUGACCAAGACAGAGGAUCUGCAGAUGACUUGUCUCCCCCACCCAGGGACCAGAUGCUGUGGGAGCCAGUGCCACUGAUCUCAGCCAAGAGGCUAAGAAGUGAUGAGCGCGCACACACACGAGCCAUCAGGACGCAGAAGUAAGACUGCUAUUUAACCUCAGAAUCCACUUCGGACUGCUAUGUGUCUUGAAAAUUUCAGCAAUGGAUGCAAGGAUAUUUCCUGAGGUCAUGGAAACUGGAAAAGCCAGUGGAAACCAGGCAGACACAGUUCAUAAGGAGAAUACAGUGGAUCUCUCAAACAACCCCAGACAUCCCCCUACCACGAUGUCAAGGCAAAGGAGUCCACUGAAUUGUAUUCACCAGAUGGUCAGGCUACAGGGACACAGCCAUUCUGUCCCUCUGCUCAGGACAACUGUGAAAAGCUCCUCUCUGGGAGACUGGCAACAUUAGAAAG
ensembl:processed_transcript Gm27252 predicted gene 27252